GAUGAACGCUGGCGGCGUGCCUAAUACAUGCAAGUCGAGCGAACAGACGAUGAGCUUGCUCCUCUGACGUUAGCGGCGGACGGGUGAGUAACACGUGGAUAACCUACCUAUAAGACUGGGAUAACUUCGGGAAACCGGAGCUAAUACCGGAUAAUAUAUUGAACCGCAUGGUUCAAUAGUGAAAGACGGUUUUGCUGUCACUUAUAGAUGGAUCCGCGCCGCAUUAGCUAGUUGGUAAGGUAACGGCUUACCAAGGCAACGAUGCGUAGCCGACCUGAGAGGGUGAUCGGCCACACUGGAACUGAGACACGGUCCAGACUCCUACGGGAGGCAGCAGUAGGGAAUCUUCCGCAAUGGGCGAAAGCUUGACGCAGCAACGCCGCGUGAGUGAUGAAGGUCUUCGGAUCGUAAAACUCUGUUAUUAGGGAAGAACAAAUGUGUAAGUAACUAUGCACGUCUUGACGGUACCUAAUCAGAAAGCCACGGCUAACUACGUG
rnacentral:rRNA from 1 species